CCCCUCCCCCUCCGUUUUCUUUCUUCCUCUUCAUGUGAGCCCCUGUCCUGCCACUGAUCGUCGACCUCGUAGCGUCGCUGUCCAUCGCCGCCUGGACCCAUUGGAUCUGAAGCCGAACACUAGCUGUCAGUUCUUCGUGUCGGUGUGAGUGCCUCCAGCCGCCAAUUGCUCGCUUGCCCUCACAUCGUACUUCUCUCCCAGCCGCACCACAUGUCUGCUGUUCCGUCGUCGUCGAUUGAAGCCAACCUUCACACGCCAUCCCUCACCUCGACUUCUUUGCGCGUCAUUCCAGCAAUCUAUAGCUGUCCGCCUAGCCCAUGUCUCGCCUCACCACCAGCUCUAUAGUCCCUCGCAGGCGUCUUCCGACCAACCGUUAGGUCUCGCACACCUUACCGAAAUUUGGAUCUUGGAUCGAGGUUUUAAGGUGUCAAGAACCACUAUCCAACAACAUAAGGUCCAGAAUGAUGACUUUUGAUUAAUUUGAUAUUUCAAGGAGGUUUGGAAUCGUCGUCCAACAAUAUCAAAAGGGUUUUGUCACGCUUUGUUUGGGGCAUUUGUUGGGAGGUUGGGAGCAAUUUUGAAACGAGCUAUACUUUGGGUAAAGAAUAUUUGAAUUUGUUUGGAUUUAUUUUGGCAAUAUUUGUAUAGCUUUGUUUGAAAUUAGGCCCCUAAUGUGGAAAUUGAAAUGGGUUAACGUUUAGAGAUUGGUUCAAGAAUUCUACUCAAGAUAAAGAGAAGACUUUGAAUUGUUAAUUUCCUUGGACUUAAAUUUGAGGUAAGUAACUAUAUUACUGGAAUUGCCUUGGGCCAGGUAAUAUUAAGCAUGUUGUAUUGAGGUUAUUUAUUAGAUUGAUUGUUAUGUAUGAUUUCCUUGAGUGAGUUGCAUGAACUAGAUACGCAUGAAAGAGGAUUGAAUGCUAGCAUGAUUUAAGUACAUUUUAUUCUUGGAGAUUCUGCUGAAUCUGAGGAUGAUGAGAUAUAUAUGUGUGUUAUGGAACUAUGAUGAUGAGAUGUAUAUGUAUGUUAUGGGACUAUGAUGAUGAGAUGUAUAUGUAUGUUAUGGAACUAUGAUAAUGAGAUGUAUAUGUAUGAUAUAGAACCAUAUUAUGAUACUUGUGAUGUUGAAAUCGUGAUAGUAUCCUCACUGUUAGUUAGAUACCCACUAGAGGUUGUGUGUCCUUUAGGAUUCACUAAAGGUGGUGGUUUCCUUCGGGAUCCAACAGAGGUUGUGUUUCCUUCGGAACUCACUAGAGGUAGUGCUUUCCUUCGAGAUUCACCAGAGG